rnacentral:siRNA from 1 species
CACUUAGGAUUGUUAGACCAUCUC